GACGAACGCUGGCGGCGUGCUUAACACAUGCAAGUCGAACGAAGUGGCGAACGGGUGAGUAACGCGUAAUCAACCUGCCCUUCAGAGGGGGACAACAGUUGGAAACGACUGCUAAUACCGCAUACUGAAGUAGGGGAUUGCGUCUGAUUAGCUCGGUGGAGGGGUAACGGCCACACAAGGCGAUUUUCAGUAGGCUGGCUGAGAGGAUGAACGGCAACAUUGGGACUGAGACACGGCCCAGACUCCGACGGGAGGCAGCAGUGGGGAAUCUUCCGAAAUGGACGAAAGUCUGACGGAGCAACGCCGCGUGAGUGAUGACGGCCUUCGGGUUGUAAAGCUCUGUUAAUCGGGACGCGGUACCGGAAUAGAAAGCCACGGCUAACUACGUGCCAGCAGCCGCGGUAAUUC
rnacentral:rRNA from 1 species